rnacentral:rRNA from 1 species
AUUGAACGCUGGCGGCAGGCCUAACACAUGCAAGUCGAACGGUAACAGGAAGCAGCUUGCUGCUUCGCUGACGAGUGGCGGACGGGUGAGUAAUGUCUGGGAAACUGCCUGAUGGAGGGGGAUAACUACUGGAAACGGUAGCUAAUACCGCAUAACGUCGCAAGCCCAAAGAGGGGGACCUUAGGGCCUCUUGCCAUCGGAUGUGCCCAGAUGGGAUUAGCUAGUAGGUGGGGUAACGGCUCACCUAGGCGACGAUCCCUAGCUGGUCUGAGAGGAUGACCAGCCACACUGGAACUGAGACACGGUCCAGACUCCUACGGGAGGCAGCAGUGGGGAAUAUUGCACAAUGGGUGCAAGCCUGAUGCAGCCAUGCCGCGUGUAUGAAGAAGGCCUUCGGGUUGUAAAGUACUUUCAGCGGGGAGGAAGGGAGUAAAGUUAAUACCUUUGCUCAUUGACGUUACCCGCAGAAGAAGCGCCGGCUAACUCCGUG